rnacentral:rRNA from 1 species
GAUGAACGCUGGCGGCGCGCCUAAUACAUGCAAGUCGAGCGAAUGGAUUAAGAGCUUGCUCUUAUGAAGUUAGCGGCGGACGGGUGAGUAACACGUGGGUAACCUGCCCAUAAGACUGGGAUAACUCCGGGAAACCGGGGCUAAUACCGGAUAACAUUUUGAACCGCAUGGUUCGAAAUUGAAAGGCGGCUUCGGCUGUCACUUAUGGAUGGACCCGCGUCGCAUUAGCUAGUUGGUGAGGUAACGGCUCACCAAGGCAACGAUGCGUAGCCGACCUGAGAGGGUGAUCGGCGACACUGGGACGGAGACACGGCCCAGACUCCUACGGGAGGCAGCAGUAGGGAAUCUUCCGCAAUGGACGAAAGUCUGACGGAGCAACGCCGCGUGAGUGACGAAGGCUUUCGGGUCGUAAAACUCUGUUGUUAGGGAAGAACAAGUGCUAGUUGAAUAAGCUGGCACCUUGACGGUACCUAACCAGAAAGCCACGGCUAACUACGUGCCAGCCGCCGCGGUAA